rnacentral:lncRNA from 1 species
ACACAGCCUUUUUGCUGAUUUUACAGAAAAAAACCCAAGAAAAUGAAAAAAGCCACGUUUCUCUCUCUAGAACCACAAGCUUUGAAACCUGCAAAUUACACAGAAAAACCCCAUUAAACCACAGAUUCUUGCUUAUUUUAUAGAAAAAAACCAAAAAAAAUGAAACGAACCUUGUUUCUCUCUCUAAACCUGCUUCAUCCUUCUUAUCAUUAUCCUACGCCACACGACUUAUACAGUUUACUUCAACUCCCAUUUCUCCUAGUCACCAAGGGCAGCUUCCCCAAAUGCUACGAUCCCCUGUUAACAAGCCCUUCUCU